GGGUGCGAUCAUACCGGCACUAGUGCACCGGAUCCCAUCAGAACUCCGUAGUCAAGCGUGCUUGGGUGAUAGUGGUACUAGGAUGGGUGACCUUUUUGGAAGUGCUCGACGAACUUG
rnacentral:rRNA from 1 species